UCAGAGUUGGUUUAGGAAAACUAAGAAGGUGUCGGUGGGGUAGUGACUUAUGUAACAAAUUCAACUAAUCAGAGUUGGUUUAGGAAAACUAAGAAGGUGUCGGUGGGGUAGUGACUUAUGUAACAAAUUCAACUAAUCAGAGUUGGUUUAGGAAAACUAAGAAGGUUACCAUGGUUGAAAUCUCAGAAGAUGAUUCUGCUUCUAAUCUUCCAAUUAUACAUGGAGUGGCAUCACAAAUGGGACCUCCCCCUCCACGUCCACCGCGUUCUGGACAAGUGCAUGGACCAUCAGCAGGGACAGGGAGUACCGCUGGCUCAUCUACACCAGCUUCUGAACCUUCACAUGCUUG